UACGUAGGGUGCAAGCGUUAAUCGGAAUUACUGGGCGUAAAGCGUGCGCAGGCGGUCUUGUAAGUUUGUCGUGAAAUCCCCGGGCUCAACCUGGGAAUGGCGAUGAAGACUGCAAGGCUAGAAUCUGGCAGAGGGGGGUAGAAUUCCACGUGUAGCAGUGAAAUGCGUAGAGAUGUGGAGGAACACCGAUGGCGAAGGCAGCCCCCUGGGUCAAGAUUGACGCUCAUGCACGAAAGCGUGGGGAGCAAACAGG
rnacentral:rRNA from 1 species